GAUGAACGCUGGCGGCGUGCCUAAUACAUGCAAGUCGAGCGAAUGGAUUAAGAGCUUGCUCUUAUGAAGUUAGCGGCGGACGGGUGAGUAACACGUGGGUAACCUGCCCAUAAGACUAGGAUAACUCCGGGAAACCGGGGCUAAUACCGGAUAAUAUUUUGAACUGCAUGGUUCAAAAUUGAAAGGCGGCUUCGGCUGUCACUUAUGGAUGGACCCGGGUCGCAUUAGCUAGUUGGUGAGGUAACGGCUCACCAAGGCAACGAUGCGUAGCCGACCUGAGAGGGUGAUCGGCCACACUGGGACUGAGACACGGCCCAGACUCCUACGGGAGGCAGCAGUAGGGUAUCUUCCGCAAUGGACGAAAGUCUGACGGAGCAACGCCGCGUGAGUGAUGAAGGCUUUCGGGUCGUAAAACUCUGUUGUUAGGGAAGAACAAGUGCUAGUUGAAUAAGCUGGCACCUUGACGGUACCUAACCAGAAAGCCACGGCUAACUACGUGCCAGCCGCCGCUGUAA
rnacentral:rRNA from 1 species